AGGUGACUGGCAGCAGCCACAGUCCAGCGACAGACGUUCGUCUCGGCGCAACGGCCGGCUUCAUACUUUAAGUGACUCCAAAGACCGCCAUCUGGCAGUAAACUGAACAGAGCAAUGGCAGCAACAGCGAAGCACAGUUUCGUGAAUGAGCUGGGCCACAGUCCUACACGAAAGCCUGGGAUGGUCCGCCGCGGCUCAGUGAUUUUCCAGCAGUCUGGGGAACGCCACACCCACACGCAGGACGUGGGCUGGGGGGUGCGGCCCAUCACCAUCAUCGUACCCACCAGCAGCAAUCCGAGGCCCAGCGGGCGCAUCAUCCUCUUCAACCAGUGUUCGCCGCAGGGUCCACAGUCCGAAUGUUGAUGCGAAUCACGAUAGGCAGGGUUUCUCGACGAGCACAAGCGACAGGAGAUGCGAUGAUGCAGACCACUUCUUGGGAGGACUACCAGACUGAUCAAGCUGAGCAGUGUGCUGUAUAAGUUGAGACAACUCAUUCAUGUUCAAAGGCAUGAGACCUCAAAUAUCCGUUUGGUUACCCAAAUUAGAUUUCCUGCCGUUUCACUAUGCCACUCCUGGCGGAUAAGUACGACUCUGCCUUUUUUCUCCCCCAUCUUUCUCAAAUGUUAUCUUGUGCUCCGUCUACCAUGGCCUCAACACUGAGGGGAUGUUCAGUUUGCUGUUCACUUGUCUUUUAUGGACUGGCUGUCACGAUGCUUUCAAAAGCCCGAUGUUCUGACCAACGAGAAGUUACCAUUAAACACUUUUCUAGCGAGAAGAUUAA